AAGCGGAGGAAAAGAAACCAACAGGGAUUGCCCCAGUAGCGGCGAGUGAAGCGGCAAGAGCUCAGAUUUGAAAUCGUGUUUCGGCACGAGUUGUAGAGUGUAGGCGGGAGUCUCUGUGGAGCGCGGUGUCCAAGUCCCUUGGAACAGGGUGCCUGAGAGGGUGAGAGCCCCGUAGGGUGCUGCGCGAAGCUUUUGAGGCCCUGCUGACGAGUCGAGUUGUUUGGGAAUGCAGCUCCAAGCGGGUGGUAAAUUCCAUCUAAGGCUAAAUAUUGGCGAGAGACCGAUAGCGAACAAGUACUGUGAAGGAAAGAUGAAAAGCACUUUGAAAAGAGAGUGAAACAGCACGUGAAAUUGUUGAAAGGGAAGGGUAUUGGGCUCGACAUGGGGGGUGCGCACCGCUGUCUCUUGUAGGCGGCGCUCUGGGCGCCCUCUGGGCCAGCAUCGGUUCCUGCUGCGGGAGAAGGGGCUCCGGAAAGUGGCUCUUCGGAGUGUUAUAGCCGGGGCCAGAUGCCGCGUGUGGGGACCGAGGACUGCGGCUUCUGUCUCGGAUGCUGGCAUAACGGCGCAAUA
rnacentral:rRNA from 1 species